UGGGCUCGAACGGCUUAAGACAGUCGUAGAAAUACGAUCUUUCCGCAAGGAACUUGAGUCGAGGUGCUGCAUGGCUGUCGUCAGCUCGUGUCGUGAGAUGUUGGGUUAAGUCCCGCAACGAGCGCAACCCUUGCCCUGUUUUGCCAUCAUUUAGUUGGGAACUAUCAGGGGACCGCCAGCGAUAAGUUGGAGGAAGGUGGGGAUGACGUCAAGUCAUCAUGGCCUUUAUGUCCAGGGCUA
rnacentral:rRNA from 1 species